CGAAUUUCCAAUGGAGUGAUAAAAUACGUUGAUAUUGGAAGGAAGACCGAAAGCGAAGGCAAGGUACUCAUUUCAACUAACGCUGAUAUGGGAAAGUCUGGGGAGCGAAUGGGAUUAGAGACCCCAGUAGUCCAGACUGUAAACGAU
rnacentral:rRNA from 1 species